AGUGAACGCUGGCGGUAGGCCUAACACAUGCAAGUCGAACGGCAGCACAGUAAGAGCUUGCUCUUACGGGUGGCGAGUGGCGGACGGGUGAGGAAUACAUCGGAAUCUACUUUUUCGUGGGGGAUAACGUAGGGAAACUUACGCUAAUACCGCAUACGACCUACGGGUGAAAGCAGGGGAUCUUCGGACCUUGCGCGAUUGAAUGAGCCGAUGUCGGAUUAGCUAGUUGGCGGGGUAAAGGCCCACCAAGGCGACGAUCCGUAGCUGGUCUGAGAGGAUGAUAAGCCACACUGGAACUGAGACACGGUCCAGACUCCUAAGGGAGGCAGCAGUGGGGAAUAUUGGACAAUGGGCGCAAGCCUGAUCCAGCCAUACCGCGUGGGUGAAGAAGGCCUUCGGGUUGUAAAGACCUUUUGUGGGGAAAGAAAAGCAGCAGGUUAAUACCCCGCUGUUCUGACGGUACCCAAAGAAUAAGCACCGGCUAACUUCGUG
rnacentral:rRNA from 1 species